ACAAGUUUGUUUAUCUUGAGUGAUAUUGAUAUACGUUUACGUCUAAAAUGAGAUUUAGAGUUAAUAUAAAAAAUUUAGAGUUUUAUGUAAAUAAUAAGAGAAUGCAGUCGCUUUUUGCUAACACAAUUUUGCAUCUUUUUCGCGUAGUUAAUAAUUGGUGAGUUUGAGUGAUAGUCCAAUAAAAUUUCUGUAUACAGCGGUGAUUCUUUGCCGUUGCGAUCUUUCCAAUAUACUUUUCUGCAAUCGAACUACACCGCGUUGAACGGUUAGAACUAGGUGCACGAGAGGAAGCUAAUUCUGUGCAGAAACUUGCAUAAAAUGAUGCUGUAACGUGACAUGUGUGGAAAUAGCCAGUGUCGUGUUACAAUGGUGUUGACGGCAGAGAAGCAGAAGAUUAUUUCUAUUGUAUACCUUGGACAGAAGAGAAACUUAUAGAAAGCAAAAAAUGCUACAUUUGAAAGAUGAUAUUGUCAUUGACGCAAACAUUUCGUUUAAACCUCAAGGUUUUCUUACAACCAAAGGUGUUUCGUGUCCAUAAGCAGAAAUUCUAUCACAGAGAAGUACGUUUUAGCUCUCAACAUCUACUGUGAGUUACAUAUCGUCGCUACACCAGUUAAGCCAUUUUAUGGGUUGUUAAUUCGCCUAAAUUGUAUUUGUGUGAAGAACAAUAGUCUUCUUGUGCAGUCUUGAUAUUAAUAAGCUUUCAUUGUAAUUAAUUACUGCAUUGUUUCAAAAAAAAAAACUUUCCUGAAACAACUUCACGAAAUCUGUAUAAUAUUUGUUCAUUUCAAAGUGAAUUAUUAGGAUCUUAUUCAUUCUUAUUGAUUCAUAUUCAUUAAAUUUGCUGACAUACAUACUGUUUAACCUGGUCAAACAGGCGAGAAGAUUGUUUAAAAUUCUAAAUAACAAUUCAUCAAGUGUAAUAUCGCAACAAUAAUCCUGACGUACGGAGUGCAGCUUUUGUGUUACGUUUAAGCUGGUUAAAUAGCUCUGAAUAUUGCCCAAAACUCUAAAUAAAAGACGAUUACUUAUUCGAUUUUUAGAUGUCUAUGGAGCCUAUUUAAAUAUUGUUAGCGUAUAUUCCCGAACAAAAAGAUAGAAUGAAUUUUUGGUAGUUCCAACGUCAUUUAAUUAAUGUUGCCGUAUUCGAAUUUUCUGUUCGACUCAUUUAGACAUAGAACGCUUGUCGAAUAUUGUGAUGAAACGAUAUGUCAAAAGAUUCCUCUGGUUACUUCAUGAAGCACCCUAUACCUGGGCUACAGUUUUAACCAAAGAUCCGUUUAUAAAGCUUCUAACUCACUAAGUAAUUUACUUUUAUUUCGUCAUGCAAGAGCUAAUCUCAAAUAUAUGGACAUGUAUCUCAAUCAUAGGUCUUGACUGGUACGGAUAGAUCUUCGUUACUUAAGUGAGAGAAAAGUUUGCCAACAUAGAUGUACAAUCAUCGUUAAAAAUACAGGACGAGCGUGACUGGAUAAAGUAUGUCGAUAUUUCAAAAAAUUGUUCCACUAAUUGAAACAAGUUUUUAAAGAUUUGUGGGCACAUUAUUAAUAAAAUCGACACAAAUCGCGAUCGACUCGAGACGUGGCAAUCGACCAGUCGAUCCCGAUCGACGUGUUGGCAAUCCCUGAUAUACGGAAAUAAACUAUCAAGUUAUUCCAACAACAUAAUCAUGUCUUGCAACUUAUAUCAAUGUUCUGCACGUAAUAUUUUUACGAUAUAAAAACAUAUGUAUUUACAAUAACCAACAGCUUUACCAAUCAAUUAACUGUUUAUGCUUGGACAUCAACUUGGUAUCGCAGGAAAGCUCAAUCAUCGAAUUUUUCUCAACAGUGUUAAGAUUGCACGAAUUAAUACUCUUUUCAAAAGAAUUAACAAUUCGAAAGUUUCCCUGACGAAGAUUCGCAUUUUCUGGAAAAUGUUUCAAGUUUUCAAUCAUGUAACGUACUAUGUGCUAUUAAGCACAAAUCAAUCUGAAACUCCUAUGAAAUUUGCAUUUUCAAUGGAUAGAGUCAAAUUGAAUAUGUCAAAACUGUAUGUCGCUGAACCGGAUAAAUCUCAACAAGCAAGCAAGUUGAACUACGUUGAAAAUUUACAUUCGCGCCUGAAAUCAAUAUUUAUGAAGUAGAGGCAAAACUGUCCGGUUCAAAGCGUUGAUGAAUCAAUGACUAAAUCCAAGGGAAGGUGUUCUUUCGAGCAAUACACGAAAAAAACGAAGAAAUGUUAAAGUUUUCAAUAGCAAACUCAGCCGUGGAUAUUUCAAAUUUAUCUGCAAUAGGAAUGGAACGUUAGCAGUUAAAUGGAUGGAUACAAAAAUGUGUUAGUGCUGAUCAACUUUCACACAAAUACAGUUUAAGUUAGAAGCAACGAGAUGGAACAAUGAACGUUUCCUGCCCUAUUGCUAUCCGAUGUUACAGACAAAUUAUGGGUGGCGUUAAUAGAGCGGGCCAGAUGGUUGGUGUUUAUGAACUAGAACGAAAUUCAAACAAACUGAUGUUAAAAGUUCUUUAUCGUAUGUUGGCUUUUUCAAUGCGUGGGUAUUUACAAAAAAUUGCACAGUCAUUAUAAAAAGCCAUACCUUGAUUUACGUCGCAGUGGUACAAGAAGACUAUCCAAACGUGUAUCCAUGAUGCACAAUCAUGGUAGUACCAGAAGAGGGUGUACCAAUUGCGAAAAAGCAGGAAACCAAAAACGAACAAAGUUAAUGUGUAGUGCUUGCAAUUUUUCAUGUUGCAUUGUCUCUUUCAAGCCUGAUUUUUGUGAAGUUUUUAUUGCUCGUUUAUCCGUAGAUAUGUGUUACAAUAAUAUGAAAUAAUGAAUUGAUACAAAAUAUUUUCUCCUCCGUGACAAAACAUUUUUUAAGACUUAAUUGAUUUGUGCAAUAAUAGUUGAGAUAUAUUAGACUUAGAAAAUUAAAGAAAAGUAAAACAAAUUUAUAAAUAAGAUUGUGACUGAAUAUUGCAAAAUUCAAAUCCAAAAUAUUUAAAUAGCAUAUUUUAACUCUUACCGAAGAAUACAAAUAAUUAACCGAUGCAUAUUUUAGGUAAGGCGGGAGCUUUCGGCGUUUUUCUGAAUAUGGGUAACAUUACCAGCUUUUUCCCCACUAAAUAGAAUACCAUUCUUAUUUUACAUUAAUAUUGCAUUUACCAUGACGACUAUAGUGCAAUACUGUAUGAACUAAUUAAAAAAAACUCCGCUUAGUGCAAAGUGGUCUUAGGAUAGUCAGCGAUAAUUAUUCAUUAUUUGCUAUUUUUUUACACUCAAAGUAUUGAACGAAAUUGUACAAAUAUGUAUGGUAUAUUACGUUUAUAUAAUAAUAAUAUAUAAUAUUGGUUUC